UAUAUAAAAUGCUGUAGGUAUCCUAUAUAAAAUGCUGUAGGUAUCCUAUAUAAAAUGCUGUAGGUAUCCUAUAUAAAAUGCUGUAGUUUUCUAUAACAUGCUGUAGUUAUCAACUUUGUUACAGCUAUCUAUGUUAUGGUGUAGUUAUCCUGUAAUGAUCUGUACAUGUAGAUACAAGAAGGAAACAAAAUGUUGCUGAAUUCCAUAUUGAUUGUCCCAGCUAUUUUUUUGUAUUAUUACUUUGUGUUUGUGUGUCAAUAUCCUUAUACAUGUACAGUAGUCAUGGACAGUUCUUGUCCUAUAUUUUGUGAUAUUUUGUACAAAAUAUGUUUAAUGUUUACAUGGUGAACAAAGAGCUUUAUUUUGAAAAUAUUAUCAUUAUGAAAUGAAGUCUGAUUUUGUUUGAUUCGCUUUUAAUAAUGCAAUGAAAAAAAUAAUCAAGUGCUUUAGUGACCUUGUUUAUGACCAGAUGUUAUCAGAUAAAUGGCCCUGUUGUUAUAAUACUAUGUACAUUUACUCUCUUAUACUAUAAGUGUGACUUUGCCAUGUCGCCAAAUGAAUUACUGCUGACAAACACACUAAACAUUGUGACAUUAUAUGUUGUGUACAGCUACAUAAUUAAUUCUCUGUAAGUGUGGUUUUAUACCUGUACAUAGUGUAAAUACAUGGUGUAAUAUUUCUCCGUGAGUGUGGAUACAUGGUGUAAUAUUUCUCCGUGUGUGUGGAUAAAUGGUGUAAUAUUUCUCUGUGAGUGUGGUUUUAAUUACCUGUACAUAGUGUGGAUGCAUGGUGUAAUAUUCCUCUGUGAGUGUAAAUACAUGGUGUAAUAUUUCUCCGUGAGUGUGGAUACAUGGUGUAAUAUUUCUCCGUUGUGUGGAUACAUGGUGUAAUAUUUCUCUGUGAGUGUGGAUACAUGGUGUAAUAUUUCUCCGUGUGUGGAUGCAUGGUGUAAUAUUUCUCUGUGAGUGUAAAUACAUGGUGUAAUAUUUCUCUGUGAGUGUAAAUACAUGGUGUAAUAUUUCUCUGUGAGUGUAAAUACAUGGUGUAAUAUUUCUCUGUGAGUGUAAAUACAUGGUGUAAUAUUUCUCUGUGAGUGUGAAUACAUGGUGUAAUAUUUCUCUGUGAGUGUAAAUACAUGGUGUAAUAUUCCUCUGUGAGUGUGGAUACAUAGUGUAAUAUUUCUGUGUGAGUGUAAAUACAUGGUGUAAUAUUUCUCUGUGAGUGUAAAUACAUGGUGUAAUAUUUCUGUGUGAGUGUAAAUACAUGGUGUAAUAUUUCUGUGUGAGUGUAAAUACAUGGUGUAAUAUUCCUCUGUAAGUGUUGAUAAAUGGUGUAAUAUUUCUCUGUGUGUGUGGAUACAUGGUGUAAUAUUUCUCUAUUAGUGUGGAUACAUUGUGUAAUAUUUCUCUGUGUGUGGAUACAUGGUGUAAUAUUUCUCUGUAAGUGUGGAUACAUGGUGUAAUAUUUCUCUGUAAGUGUGGAUACAUGGUGUAAUAUUCCUCUGUGUGUGUGGAUACAUUGUGUAAUAUUUCUCUGUGUGUGGAUACAUGGUGUAAUAUUUCUCUGUGAGUGUGGAUACAUGGUGUAAUAUUCCUCUGUAAGUGUUGAUAAAUGGUGUAAUAUUUCUCUGUGUGUGUGGAUAAAUGGUGUAAUAUUUCUCCGUGUGUGGAUGCAUGGUGUAAUAUUUCUCCGUGAGUGUGGUUUUAAUUACCUGUACAUAGUGUGGAUGCAUGGUGUAAUAUUCCUCUGUGAGUGUAAAUACAUGGUGUAAUAUUUCUCUGUGAGUGUAAAUACAUGGUGUAAUAUUUCUCUGUGAGUGUGGAUACGUGGUGUAAUAUUUCUCCGUUGUGUGGAUACGUGGUGUAAUAUUUCUCUGUGAGUGUGAAUACAUGGUCUAAUAUUUCUGUGUGAGUGUAAAUACAUGGUGUAAUAUUGCUCCGUUGUGUGGAUACAUGGUGUAAUAUUUCUCUGUGAGUGUGGAUACAUGGUGUAAUAUUUCUGUGUGAGUGUAAAUACAUGGUGUAAUAUUGCUCCGUUGUGUGGAUACAUGGUGUAAUAUUUCUCUGUGAGUGUAAAUACAUGGUGUAAUAUUUCUCCGUUGUGUGGAUACAUGGUGUAAUAUUUCUCUGUGAGUGUGGUUAAAUGGUGUAAUAUUUCUCUGUAAGUGUGGAUAAAUGGUGUAAUAUUUCUGUGUGAGUGUAAAUACAUGGUGUAAUAUUUCUGUGUGAGUGUAAAUACAUGGUGUAAUAUUGCUCCGUUGUGUGGAUACAUGGUGUAAUAUUUCUCCGUUGUGUGGAUACAUGGUGUAAUAUUUCUCUGUGAGUGUCGAUACAUGGUGUAAUAUUUCUCCGUUGUGUGGAUAAAUGGUGUAAUAUUUCUGUGUGAGUGUAAAUACAUGGUGUAAUAUUUCUGUGUGAGUGUAAAUACAUGGUGUAAUAUUGCUCCGUUGUGUGGAUACAUGGUGUAAUAUUUCUCCAUUGUGUGGAUACAUGGUGUAAUAUUUCUCUGUGAGUGUAAAUACAUGGUGUAAUAUUUCUCUGUGAGUGUAAAUACAUGGUGUAAUAUUUCUCCGUGAGUGUAAAUACAUGGUGUAAUAUUUCUGUGUGAGUGUAAAUACAUGGUGUAAUAUUUCUGUGUGAGUGUAAAUACAUGGUGUAAUAUUGCUCCGUUGUGUGGAUACAUGGUGUAAUAUUUCUCCAUUGUGUGGAUACAUGGUGUAAUAUUUCUCCGUUGUGUGGAUACAUGGUGUAAUAUUUCUCUGUGAGUGUCGAUACAUGGUGUAAUAUUUCUCCGUUGUGUGGAUAAAUGGUGUAAUAUUUCUGUGAGUGUAAAUACAUGGUGUAAUAUUUCUGUGUGAGUGUAAAUACAUGGUGUAAUAUUUCUCUGUGAGUGCACAUGUAAAUACAUGGUAUAAUAUUUCUCUGUGAGUGUGGAUACAUGGUGUAAUAUUUCUCUGUGAGUGUGGGUACAUGGUGUAAUAUUUCUCUGUAAGUGUAAAUACAUGGUGUAAUAUUUCUGUGUGAGUGUAAAUACAUGGUGUAAUAUUUCUCCGUUGUGUGGAUACAUGGUGUAAUAUUUCUCCGUUGUGUGGAUACAUGGUGUAAUAUUUCUCUGUAAGUGUGAUUACAUUGUUUAAUUUAUCUCCUGGCGUGACAUUUUAAAGUACAGUAGUGACCAGUGCUGACCAAUAUGAUUGACAUGCAUAUUUCAUAUUUACUUCUCCUUGCAUGGUGUUGGUAUGUAUGGUUAUAAUAGAGGUCUAAUCUCAGUUUACAUCAAAAAGGAAAAUUCAUUUAACGUAUACAAUAUGUAAUAUCAUGUAGGAAAUAGACUUCCCAAAAUAUGUCCAUUACAAAGAGAUAUUAUCAUUUCAAAAGAAAAUACAUAAUUAUUUUUUUUAUUUUUCAUAAUAUUGUCGUGAUUAAGAAGAUCAAUUGUGUAUAGGUGAUGUCAUUGACAAAGUCAGAAUGAAGUAUGUCAUUGACAAAAUCAUGAGAUUAACAGGGUAACAUUUGUAUGACAGGUUCGUCAAUUUUUUUCUGAACUUUUUGAUCAAAAAUUGGAAAGUAUCUGAACAAUUAGACUUAACCAACUUUUCACUGGACUGAAAGGACUGAUAAGAUGUCUAAUACAGAAUUGGUGUAGCGAAAUGUAGUAUUUAACAGACAGUUACUUACUGACGUAGCUAAAUGUAGUAUUUAACAGACAGUUACUUACUGACGUAGCGAAAUGUAGUAUUUAACAGACAGUUACUUACUGACAUAGCUAAAUGUAGUAUUUAACAGACAGUUACUUACCGACGUAGCUAAAUGUAGUAUUUAACAGACAGUUACUUACUGACGUAGCGAAAUGUAGUAUUUAACAGACAGUUACUUACUGACAUAGCUAAAUGUAGUAUUUAACAGACAGUUACUUACUGACAUAGCUAAAUGUAGUAUUUAACAGACAGUUACUUACCGACGUAGCUAAAUGUAGUAUUUAACAGACAGUUACUUACUGACGUAGUGAAAUGUAGUAUUUUACCGACAGUUACUUACUGACGUAGCGAAAUGUAGUAUUUAACAGACAGUUACUUACUGACAUAGUGAAAUGUAGUAUUUAACAGACAGUUACUUACUGACAUAGUGAAAUGUAGUAUUUAACAGAUAGUUACUUACUGACGUAGCGAAAUGUAGUAUUUAACAGACAGUUACUUACUGACGUAGCGAAAUGUAGUAUUUAACAGACAGUUACUUACUGACGUAGCGAAAUGUAGUAUUUAACAGACAGUUACUUACUGACGUAGCGAAAUGUAGUAUUUAACAGACAGUUACUUACUGACGUAGCGAAAUGUAGUAUUUAACAGACAGUUACUUACUGACAUAGUGAAAUGUAGUAUUUAACAGACAGUUACUUACCGACGUAGCUAAAUGUAGUAUUUAACAGACAGUUACUUACCGACGUAGUGAAAUGUAGUAUUUAACAGACAGUUACUUACCGACGUAGUGAAAUGUAGUAUUUAACAGACAGUUACUUACCGACGUAGCGAAAUGUAGUAUUUAACAGACAGUUACUUACUGACGUAGCGAAAUGUAGUAUUUAACAGACAGUUACUUACUGACGUAGUGAAAUGUAGUAUUUAACAGACAGUUACUUACUGACGUAGUGAAAUGUAGUAUUUAACAGACAGUUACUUACUGAUGUAGCGAAAUGUAGUAUUUAACAGACAGUUACUUACCGACGUAGCGAAAUGUAGUAUUUAACAGACAGUUACUUACCGACGUAGUGAAAUGUAGUAUUUAACAGACAGUUACUUACUGACGUAGUGAAAUGUAGUAUUUAACAGACAGUUACUUACUGACGUACUUACUGACAUAGCGAAAUGUAGUAUUUAACAGACAGUUACUUACUGACGUAGUGAAAUGUAGUAUUUAACAGACAGUUACUUACUGACGUAGCGAAAUGUAGUAUUUAACAGACAGUUACUUACUGACGUAGCAAAAUGUAGUAUUUAACAGACAGUUACUUACUGACGUAGCAAAAUGUAGUAUUUAACAGACAGUUAAUUAUAUAUUGACAAAGCUAAAUGUAGUAUUAUACAUCUUUCUAGGGAGAUUAAGCUGUAAAUAUAUCUAAGUUGAUGCCAAAUAUGACUAAAUACAGAAUACCCCUGUACAUGUGGAGCCAUGGUAUCAAGUUCUGACAAAAACCUUGUACAGCCACAGUAUCUUGUUCAGACAGAAUAACCCUGUAAAGACACGUACAUAUACGUAUCUAGUUCUGACGGAAGAUCAUUGUGAAGCCUUGUAUGUAUUUCUGACAGAACAAACUUGUACAGUCACGGUAUCUAGCUCUGACGGAAUGACCUUGUAAACCCCCUGUAUCUAGCUCUGAUGGAAUGACCUUGUAAACCCCCUGUAUCUAGCUCUGAUGGAAUGACCUUGUAAACCCCCUGUAUCUAUAGCUCUGACGGAAUAACCUUGUAAACCCCCUGUAUCUAUAGCUCUGACGGAAUGAACAUGUAAACCCCCUGUAUCUAGCUCUGACGGAAUGAACAUGUGAACCCCCUGUAUCUAGCUCUGACGGAAUGACCUUGUAAACCCCCUGUAUCUGGCUCUGACGGAAUGACCUUGUAAACCCCCUGUAUCUAGCUCUGACGGAAUGACCUUGUAAAUCCCCUGUAUCUAGCUCUGACGGAAUGACCUUGUAAAUCCCCUGUAUCUAGCUCUGACGGAAUGAACAUGUAAACCCCCUGUAUCUAGCUCUGACGGAAUGACCUUGUAAACCCCCUGUAUCUAGCUCUGACGGAAUGACCUUGUAAACCCCCUGUAUCUAGCUCUGACGGAAUGACCUUGUAAACCCCCUGUAUCUAGCUCUGACGGAAUGCCCUUGUAAACCCCCUGUAUCUAGCUCUGACGGAAUGACCUUGUAAACCCCCUGUAUCUAGCUCUGACGGAAUGCCCUUGUAAACCCCCUGUAUCUAGCUCUGACGGAAUGACCUUGUAAACCCCCUGUAUCUAGCUCUGACGGAAUGACCUUGUAAACCCCCUGUAUCUAGCUCUGACGGAAUGACCUUGUAAACCCCCUGUAUCUAGCUCUGACAGAAUGACCUUGUAAACCCCCUGUAUCUAGCUCUGACGGAAUGACCUUGUAAACCCCCUGUAUCUAGCUCUGACGGAAUGACCUUGUAAACCCCCUGUAUCUAGCUCUGACGGAAUGAACAUGUAAACCCCCUGUAUCUAGCUCUGACAGAAUGACCUUGUAAACCCCCUGUAUCUAGCAUAUGGUAUAUAUGUUGACAUGGAGGCAAAAUUUCUUUCCCUUCCCAAAAAUGUCGGCACAAACUGAACAAAGUUAGUUUAAACAGAUACAAUAUAUAUAUAUAUAUAUAUACAUAUUAGAAUAUCUUUGACAAAUUAAGUAUUCACAAUUCCAUUGCUCUGUAGAGGUAAUCAUUAGGACAGCAUACACUAGUCAUAUAUCAGACAGAAACGUUGUAAAUUAUCUAUAAAUCAGUUGUAUAUACAAUAUUUUAUUUGUAAUUCAUGCUCCUUACAAAGUUGUUAUACAGCUGAUAUACCAUUUGCGAAUUUUGUCACUAAAGUCCGGUCUGAAUCUCAGGGUAUCGUACUGCUAUAGUAAUACUAGUCGGGAAUUUGUUGUCUGUGUUAUGGUAUACGUAGCCUACAGAUAAUCAAAUUCCCUGUACACGGCCUAUUGUCUGUAGACAUUACACCAUAUACUGAAUAUAUAUAUAUAUAUAUACUGCAUAUACUUAUUUUAUGUUUCAUUAUGUAACUUGCUGUUUUGUUAGAAUGAAUCAGUAUUAAUGAGACAGGCUGUAACGGUCUGGUGGUAACAAUCAGGUUAUAACUCAAAUAUUGAUGAUGUUUAUCCGGCGGGAUUUGACGGGUAGUAAGAAUUGGUAUAUGAUGAGGCAGAUGAAAAAACUUGCCCCAGACAUUACAGGUGGUCAAUUACGAGGAGAUAGGUGGUAAAAAUUUGGCACAUGAUGAGACAAUAGUGACAAAAAUCGUGACAAGUGGUUAACAUUUUGGGUUAUGACGAGACAGAUGGUAAAAUUUAGGUAUUGUUUGAUGACACGUGGUAAACAUUCGGUGUAUGGCAGACAGAUGGUAUGAUUUUAGUCUAUGACGAGACAGAUGGUAAUUGGUAUAUGCCAAAUUAAAGAGAUCAUGAGAUUCGGUAGGAGACGUAAAAUAUCGGUCAAUGACGAAGCAAAUGGUAAAACAUUUGGACAAUAACGAGGCAGGUGGUAAAUUUUGGUCUGUUGGUCAAAUCCAAACAAAACAUGCAUGGGAUUACAGUAUUAUGUUGUGACAACUCCAAUCGCUAUGGAUUUUCCUCAAACCCCGGAAAGGGUACUUUGUAGAUUGGGAAAAAAUCACUCGGUGCUCCCAAAGAAACAAACCUGUGACAAUCAGCAUAUAUGCUGUGUGAUGAAUUUAACCAUAAUUGAUCUGAGAAGUUAAUUGAAUUAAUGCUACUUAAAGUGUGGUCACAUGAUUUGUCAAUGUACACCUGGAAACAGGCAGGUAAUUCUGAAAUAUACUAAUUUAUAUGUCAGCAUUUCAAAUGUAUGUGAAAACUCAUUGGUAGCCAACUGUCUUCUAUAAGCUUUACGUUAGAAAAUCGUUUAAAAAACAAUUGAGAUGUAUCUUUCAUUUGAUCAAAGAAGAUACAAACCACUCGAGAUGAAAAAAAAAAAUCUUCUGCAACAAUUUUUGGAACAAAAUGUUUUUAGACGAAAGAAAUCUUUAUAUAUACAUUAACUGUUUAUAUUUUACUAGUGGAAUGUGCAUUUGUGUUGUAGAUCACGGUUGAGAGGUGAGGAUGAAAAACUCACAUGGGAAAUAUAUUUCAUAAAAUAUUUGAGUUGAAAUGUAAAUAUCACAUGUACAGGAAUAAUAAUGAUUUUAGUGUCAGCUAUAAAUCAUAGUGACAUUAAUUAUUUAUGUAUAAUACUAUGCAUUGUAAAUACAAGCAUUGUUGUAGAACAUCCUACUUUUAUCAUUCCCGUUUUAUACCGAUAUGUCCAAGUGAAGGUCGUAGGUAUGUGUAUACCGAUAUGUCCAAGUGAAGGUCGUAGGUAUGUGUAUACCGAUAUGUCCAAGUGAAGGUCGUAGGUAUGUGUAUACCGAUAUGUCCAAGUGAAGGUCGUAGGUAUGUGUAUACCGAUAUGUCCAAGUGAAGGUCGUAGGUAUGUGUAUACCGAUAUGUCCAAGUGAAGGUCGUAGGUAUGUGUAUACCGAUAUGUCCAAGUGAAGGUCGUAGGUAUGUGUAUACCGAUAUGUCCAAGUGAAGGUGGUAGGUAUGUGUAUACUGAUAUGUCCAAGUGAAGGUCGUAGGUAUGUGUAUACUGAUAUGUCCAAGUGAAGGUCGUAGGUAUGUGUAUACUGAGAUAUGUCCAACUGAAGGUCGUAGGUAUGUGUAUACUGAUAUGUCCAAGUGAAGGUCGUAGGUAUGUGUAUACUGAGAUAUGUCCAAGUGAAGGUCGUAGGUAUGUGUAUACUGAGAUAUGUCCAACUGAAGGUCGUAGGUAUGUGUAUACUGAUAUGUCCAAGUGAAGGUCGUAGGUAUGUGUAUACCGAUAUGUCCAAGUGAAGGUCGUAGGUAUGUGUAUACUGAUAUGUCCAACUGAAGGUCGUAGGUAUGUGUAUACUGAGAUAUGUCCAACUGAAGGUCGUAGGUAUGUGUAUACCGAUAUGUCCAAGUGAAGGUCGUAGGUAUGUGUAUACUGAUAUGUCCAAGUGAAGGUCGUAGGUAUGUGUAUACUGAUAUGUCCAAGUGAAGGUCGUAGGUAUGUGUAUACUGAUAUGUCCAACUGAAGGUCGUAGGUAUGUGUAUACUGAGAUAUGUCCAAGUGAAGGUCGUAGGUAUGUGUAUACUGAUAUGUCCAAGUGAAGGUCGUAGGUAUGUGUUGUAGAUAUUUUAGGUUUGUUAGAGUACACAUUUGUAUGAACAGUCACGUGUUUACAUUAUUAUUGCUAUAUUCGAUCUCUAUUUUUUAAUUAUCACACAUUUUUAAUAAAUAAAAUGACCACAGUGAA